rnacentral:lncRNA from 1 species
AAAGAUACACAUAAUAUAUUUAUCUUUUUUUUUUUUUUUUUCAACAAUAACUAUAGAAUUGGCUUAUAAAAACCAAUUAGGGGGACAAUCGUUCACAUACAGAACAGGAAGCGGCGUCGUACGGACAUUCCGUGCGAAGCUAUCCGCUUUGGUAUUAGCACUCCGAGCAAUAAGAGACAAAGAAAAGGUAGAAAAUUCCUCCCUGUCAACAGCUAUGUCAUCCAAAUAUGCAGAAAACGCUGGCCACUCAAGCGGGGAAGACACCAUCUUCA